rnacentral:rRNA from 1 species
AUUGAACGCUGGCGGCAGGCCUAACACAUGCAAGUCGAGCGGGGUUUUCGGACCUAGCGGCGGACGGGUGAGUAAUGCGUAGGAAGCUGCCCGAUAGAGGGGGAUACCAAUUGGAAACGACUGUUAAUACCGCAUAAUGUCUACGGACCAAAGUGUGGGACCUUCGGGCCAAAUGCUACCGGAUGCGCCUACGUGGGGUUAGCUAGUUGGUUAGGUAAUGGCUCACCAAGGCGACGAUCUCUAGCUGGUUUGAGAGGAUGGUCAGCCAACACUGGAACUGAGACACGGUCCAGACUCCUACGGGAGGCAGCAGUGGGGAAUAUUGGACAAUGGGCGCAAGCCUGAUCCAGCCAUGCCGCGUGUGUGAAGAAGGCCUUCGGGUUGUAAAGCACUUUCAGCGAGGAGGAAGGGGUUGUAGUUAAUAGCUGCAACCUUUGACGUUACUCGCAGAAGAAGCACCGGCUAACUCUGUGCCAGCAGCCGCGGUAAGAC